rnacentral:rRNA from 1 species
AGGACGAACGCUGGCGGCGUGCUUAACACAUGCAAGUCGAACGGACGAAUGAGAGAAGUUACUUUCUAUGAGUUAGUGGCGGACGGGUGAGUAACACGUGGAUAAUCUACCUGCAACACCGGGAUAACGCUGUGAAAACGGUGCUAAUACCGGAUACCUUCUUGGAAGCGCAUGAUUUUAAGAAGAAAGCUCCGACGGUUGCAGAUGAGUCCGCGGCUGAUUAGCUAGUUGGUGAGGUAACGGCCCACCAAGGCGAUGAUCAGUAGCCGGCCUGAGAGGGUGAACGGCCACACUGGGACUGAGACACGGCCCAGACUCCUACGGGAGGCAGCAGUGGGGAAUCUUCCGCAAUGGGCGAAAGCCCUGACGGAGCAACGCCGCGUGAGUGAAGAAGGCCUUCGGGUUGUAAAGCUCUGUCUUAUGGGACGAAGAAAGUGACGGUACCAUAGGAGGAAGCCACGGCUAACUACGUGCCAGCCGCCGC